rnacentral:rRNA from 1 species
UACCGAGGUCUCAAGCGUUGUUCGGAUUCAUUGGGCGUAAAGGGUGCGUAGGCGGCGCGGUAAGUCGGGUGUGAAAUCUCGGAGCUUAACUCCGAAACUGCAUUCGAUACUGCCGUGCUUGAGGACUGGAGAGGGAAGUGGAAUUUCCGGUGUAGCGGUGAAAUGCGUAGAUAUCGGAAGGAACAUCAGUGGCGAAAGCGACUUCCUGGACCAAUACUGACGCUGAGGCGCGAAAGCUAGGGGAGCAAACGGG